CGACCUGUGGUGUAGUGGUCAGCAUUCUCGCCUCGCAAGCGUGCGGACCCGGGUUCGAUUCCCGGCAGGGUGA